AUGCACUGUUUGGGUUGCACGUAAACCACCUGGCUGUGCAUUUAUUGAUUUUGACGACAGGAGGGAUGCGGAGGAUGCUAUUAGCGAUCUAGAUGGUAAGAAUGGAUGGAGAGUUGAACUAUCUCGUAAUUCCAGUGGUCGUGGUGGUCGUGAUCGGUAUGGUGGAUCUGAGUCGAAGUGCUAUGAAUGUGGUGAGACUGGACACUUUGCACGUGAAUGUCGCCUGCGCAUUGCCUCUGGAGGUCUAGGCAGUGGAAGACGGCGCAGUCGCAGCAGGAGCAGGAGCCGCAGCGGCAGCCCUAGAUACCGCAGGAGCAGGAGCCGCAGCCGCAUAUCAGUAGAUGAAGCACAUGCUUUCAUAUAUAUGAACAUCUUCUUAACCAUGUUCUUUUUCUUUCUUUUUAGCUGUCAUGCAAACCAAUGGGUUUGAUUAUUUUGCAAGAGUACAGUUCAGUGUAUCGUUCUCUAAUUGUUAUAUGUUGAAUCUGAGAUUAUGGCUAAGACACAAAAGGUUUUAGUUACUGCA